rnacentral:lncRNA from 1 species
GGCGCCGCCGGAUCACCGUGCUAAGUGGAUUGAGGGAGACGGGCCGAGGGGCCGAGCGGAGCUGCGGGAUUAGAGUCUAAUCUGGGACGCGAGCGAGAUCCCAGCAGGCAGGGCGAGACCUGGGCGCCUGCGGACCGGCUGGACUCUUCCCGGGGGAAGGAAUAUCCCAAGGGAAGGGACAAGGGACAUUAUAGGAUCCUACAGGAUUUGCUGUGACACAAGUGUAAAUUGCUGCACUCUCGCCUCCCGACUGGAUACUAUAACUGUCACUUGACUGGCCCCCGAGGCUGAAUUCCCGGACUCUCCGUUCCAAACCAAGAACCCGAGAUCCGCGCUCAACGUGGGCGUGACCCGGGCACUGGCGACCCUGCUGGACCGGACCGGACCAGAACCGCACCGGAGCGGGCUUCGCACCAUCUUCGGACCGGACCGUUUCUGCCCCAGUCCUCGGAUCCCAGCUGGGCCCCGGGCUGAAGCGGACCCUCCCUCUCUGCAGCGGUACAACUCCUGAGGGUCGACAAACCGGCCGGCCGGGCUGCAGGAAGACCCUGCGUUCAGUCUGGAUCGAGGCGGCGGGAUUGGGAAACAGCAUGGGGCCGGAGAGGGAUCCGCGUGACGGCGCUGCGCUGGUGCCCGAGCCAGCGUCUUAACCACCAGCAGCUGGGCUGUCGACCCCCGCCUGCCCCCGCCCCGCCCCCACCCUGCUCGUGCCCCAGUCCCUGCCCCAGCUCCAGCCCUCCUAGUGCCCCAUCCCCUCCUAGUGCCCCAGUCCCUGCCCCAGCUCCAGCCCUCCUAGUGCCCCGCCCUGCUCGUGCCCCAGUCCCUGCCCCAGCUCCAGCCCU